UAAAUAACAGCCAAAAAAGUUAAAUUAAUGUAAUCCUAUCUAUUAUAUUCAUUUAUAAAAACGUUAUGACCAGAUUCAAAAAUAAGAAAAUAUAUUGAUGAGACUUUGACUAUGUAUUUAACAAAGUUGAGGCAACUAAGCAGACAAAAUUGUUAUUCUUAUUGUUGUUAAGAUGGGUUUAUCCUCCUUCUUACGCCCUCUCAUUGUCUUCCUCAUCUUCAUAAUCUCAGUGUUGGCCAUUCAGAUCACUCCUGUUGCUGCAGAAUUGAAGGUGAGCACAAAGCCACAAGGUGAUAAACGCAUGCCGAAUCCGCCACCAACUCCGGCUCGAAACAUGCCACCCGACGGUCCACCUCUUUAAUCGUAUUCAUCUAUUGCUCAUAAUUACAACACCAAAUGGCCAUUUACAACUCUAUGUAUGGCAUUUAAGUUUGCAAUUAGAGUAUGGUCUUUUUCAUUAUAUUGUGCAAAGGGGGAUGAUGAUACUUCACUUGUUUACAUGUUGAUUGUUGUUCGAGUAUUGUGCUAAUUUAUGAGAUGGAUGAUUAUUUCAUUUUA